rnacentral:rRNA from 2 species
GGGUGCGAUCAUACCAGCACUAAUGCACCGGAUCCCAUCAGAACUCCGCAGUUAAGCGUGCUUGGUCGAGAGUAGUACUAGGAUGGGUGACGUCCUGGGAAGUCCUCGUGUUGCACCCC